ACCGAGCUUGCCGUUAGCUCAUACGGCAAGGGCGCUGCGUGCGAAAAGUUAAACGCAGUCGGGGUCGGGAUGUGUUUUGUUUGAUUUAGCAUUGUUUUUUCUUAAAAUUUUUUAAACUUUUUUUCCCGACUUUUCUAACUCUCAAAAGGUUAGGGUUAGGACUUAGGGGUUAGGGUUAGAAAAGGGUUUGGGGUUGGGGAUAGGUUUAUCUUAUAAAAAUUCAACUUUAACAAUAGUCACUAGACUGCCGGCCAUUUAGUAUUUGAUAAACCGUGACCGGCUGCCGGUCAUAUAGUCACUUCGAAUAUUUAACUCACAAACCUUGCAUUUCGAUGACACUGGUUGUAAAAUCAUGACAUCUACUGACAUAAGUGGUAUCUUGAGGAGGAUGGUCGCGAUAUCCGAUCAAUGCAAGACGAACAUCGAAAGCUGCUCUUCUAACUCCCCUUGUUAUGUUUUGGAUGUGGCUUUGUGUUUGUACGAUAUAUGAACCCAUAGAUUGCGUAGAAUCUACAACAAAAGCUAGAUCGACUUGUCGCGACUCAUGACGUGCAGACCAUACAUCAAAUAAACGAGCCAUGUUUGAAUUGUCUUCGUGAGUAUUUAAUAAUAAAGCACCGUUUUAAUAUAGGUGAGUAAGGUGACAAUAG